rnacentral:rRNA from 1 species
CUCCACAGCCAUAUCACCCUGCAGCCCAAGACCGGUUACUCACUGAAGCUAAGCAGGGCUGAGCCUGGUCAGUACCUGGAUGGGAGACCACUAGGGAACACUAGGUUGCUGUUGGAA